rnacentral:antisense_RNA from 1 species
UUAACGACAGCUACUGGGCCGCUUCAGUACAGGAUAUGGCAAGGGAGGGGAAUUCUUCUUUAUUAUGGCUGGAAAAACAGUUGCAGGCGUAAUUGAAGAUUUCAUGAAAUGGUGCGUCCGAGUGGACUCGAACCACCGACCCCCACCA